rnacentral:rRNA from 1 species
GUUUGGUUAAGUUAGAAAGGGCGCACGGUGGAUGCCUUGACACUAGGAGUCGAUGAAGGACGGGACUAACGCCGAUAUGCUUCGGGGAGCUGUAAGUAAGCUUUGAUCCGAAGAUUUCCGAAUGGGGAAACCCACCAUACGUAAUGGUAUGGUAUCCUUAUCUGAAUACAUAGGGUAAGGAAGACAGACCCAGGGAACUGAAACAUCUAAGUACCUGGAGGAAGAGAAAGCAAAUGCGAUUUCCUGAGUAGCGGCGAGCGAAACGGAACAUAGCCCAAACCAAGAGGCUUGCCUCUUGGGGUUGUAGGACAUUCUAUACGGAGUUACAAAGGAACGAGGUAGACGAAGCGACCUGGAAAGGUCCGUC